rnacentral:rRNA from 1 species
GAUGAACGCUGGCGGCGUGCUUAACACAUGCAAGUCGAGCGAGAAGCUUAAAGCUUCACCUUCGGGUGAAGAUUUAAGUGGAAAGCGGCGGACGGGUGAGUAACGCGUGGGUAACCUGCCCUAUACAGGGGGAUAACAGCGAGAAAUCGUUGCUAAUACCCCAUAAGACCUCAGUGACACAUGUUACAGAGGUAAAAACUCCGGUGGUAUAGGAUGGACCCGCGUCUGAUUAGCUAGUUGGUGAGGCAGAGGCUCACCAAGGCGACGAUCAGUAGCCGGCCUGAGAGGGCGGACGGCCACAUUGGGACUGAGACACGGCCCAAACUCCUACGGGAGGCAGCAGUGGGGAAUAUUGCACAAUGGGGGAAACCCUGAUGCAGCGACGCCGCGUGAAGGAAGAAGGUUUUCGGAUCGUAAACUUCUAUCAGCAGGGAAGAAAAUGACGGUACCUGACUAAGAAGCCCCGGCUAACUACGUG